CUUCUGCCACCUGCAAACGACUCGGCGGUCCUCCAGCUUGUUGCUCUCACUACGAGCAGCUGCUGUACAAAACUUACGUUCAGGCCGAAAAUUCGACCGUGGUGUUGUGUCGGGAGAUGCAGCGACUUUACCAGCGGUGUAAAAAGAGGACAGAGCUGAAGUGGCAUCACAGCUGUCAUAGACUGAAACCAAGCUAAUGGACUGAAGUCAGUGGAGGCAGUGCUCUUAAACAGCCAGGAGGGCACCUAUAGAGAAGCUGCAUGUAGCAACAACAGGAGGCUGAGAGGUUACAGACUCAUCACAUCACUGCAGGAAACAUUUCAGACAACGAAGGCUUCUGCAAGUCAACAAGGCAAUAAGUGUUGAAGAAUACCGACAGUAUGAGCUCUGUAAGCCACAUGAUCACAAGGGAUGUGGUAAUAAUUAAAGCAUCUGUGUCUCCUCGCCUGUGUAAGUUAAAUUUUAAGUUUUGGGACGAAGUAAACAGUAUUAUGCAGCAUUUAACCUGCCAAUAACAUGCAACUGAGUGCAGUGUUAAUGUUGAAAAAUUCCAGCGAUGCCUGUUUCCCUCUGACAGAGAUGUAAUUAUGCCCAAAUGUUCAGCUGUGUGGUGAAAUAAAUUCAUCCUGACUGACAGUC